AGUGGCGAACGGGUGAGUAAUGCAUCGGAACGUACCGUGUAGUGGGGGAUAACGUAGCGAAAGUUACGCUAAUACCGCAUACGCCCUGAGGGGGAAGGUGGGGGACCGCAAGGCCUCACGCUAUAUGAGCGGCCGAUGUCGGAUUAGCUAGUUGGUAGGGUAAAGGCCUACCAAGGCGACGAUCCGUAGCGGGUCUGAGAGGAUGAUCCGCCACACUGGGACUGAGACACGGCCCACACUCCUACGGGAGGCAGCAGUGGGGAAUUUUGGACAAUGGGCGCAAGCCUGAUCCAGCCAUGCCGCGUGAGUGAAGAAGGCCUUCGGGUUGUAAAGCUCUUUCAGACGGAAAGAAAUCUCUCGGGAUAACACCCUGGGAGGAUGACGGUACCGUAAGAAGAAGCACCGGCUAACUACGUGCCAGCAGCCGCGGUAAUACGUAGGGUGCGAGCGUUAAUCGGAAUUACUGGGCGUAAAGCGUGCGCAGGCGGUGAUGUAAGACAGAUGUGAAAUCCCCGGGCUCAACCUGGGAACUGCAUUAGUGACUGCAUAGCUGGAGUACGGCAGAGGGGGGAUGGAAUUUCCGCGUGUAGCAGUGAAAUGCGUAUAUAUGCGGAGGAGCACCGAUGGCGAAGGCUACUCCCCUGGGCCUGUACUGACGCUCAUGCACGAGAGCGUGG
rnacentral:rRNA from 1 species